rnacentral:lncRNA from 1 species
AUUUUAUUUUAUUUAAUUAUUGAAUUUUUUAAAUAUACUGAUUUAAUAAUUGAUUUUAAUAUUGAUUUUGCCCGGCGCCAUCUAUUAAUCACUUACCUUACUAGCUCAGUUAUAAAGUGAAUUCUGCAUGAGAUCUCCUAUCUGUGGAGGUGUGAGAAAAGAUUUCUGAAAUAUCAACUAAACAAACGACACAAAAAUACAGCUAUAUGAAAUGGUUGAUAAAUAACAAAAGACUGUCGAAUAUUGUACACGAAUUUGGAAAUAUAUUGAAAAUAAAGGCUUUGUUAUGCAACAUCAAAAAUACAAGGUUAUCUAGUCGAAAGUCUGAAGGAAGAAAUACGAUGCAAUGAAUUUAACUAAAAAAAAAAAUAAAAGUAUUUGACAAAAAAUUAAGUCGAAGAUAACCCAAAAUUAUCUUGAAUAUUCAAAAUUUGUUAUACUAAAGCUAGAAAAUGAAAAAAAACAUUGACUUUAGAUCAUGAUCAAUUAAAAAUAUAAACUGUUCAGUACAACCUUUCACGAUGUAAUAUGAAGAUAAACCAAACUGCUAUGAAGUCUCUUCGGAUCCAAGAAGAAACCAACUGCUUCUCAUUCACUGGAACAAUGUUCUAAACAUGGUAGAUACCCGCAUCGGAAUACUUUUCACUUUUCUUGUUAAGUUGAGGGUCAUUUUUGAAAAUUUUUUCUUCACCAUGAAGAUUAUUUAUACAGAUUAAUGUCUAUUUCAACAUAAUUUCACAAAUCUAUACAUGCAGCUAAAUGAUGCAAGACGUAUCACCUUAACGAAGUUCUUUUCGAAGUGACUUUUGGAAACAUGGAACCUUUUGAUGAUUCUUACGAACAAAUAAGGCUAUUGUAUGAUACAAAUAGAAGUAAUUCUCAGGUAAAACUCAAAAUUCAAAUUAUUAUAUAUUCUAUUUACUAAUUUCUAAUUUAUAUGUCAUUGAAAUAUC